UCGACGGAACUGUCAUUUUUGAAGCAUUAGCUUGCUAAGGGUGGAAAUGUUGGCAGUUUAGUGGCGGACGGGUGAGUAACGCGUGGGUAACCUGCCUUACACAGGGGGAUAACACCUGGAAACAGGUGCUAAUACCGCAUAACAGGAAGAGGCGCAUGCCACUUUCUUGAAAACUCCGGUGGUGUAAGAUGGACCCGCGUCUGAUUAGCUAGUUGGCGGGGUAACGGCCCACCAAGGCGACGAUCAGUAGCCGGCCUGAGAGGGUGGACGGCCACAUUGGGACUGAGACACGGCCCAAACUCCUACGGGAGGCAGCAGUGGGGAAUAUUGGACAAUGGGGGGAACCCUGAUCCAGCGACGCCGCGUGAGUGAAGAAGUAUUUCGGUAUGUAAAGCUCUAUCAGC
rnacentral:rRNA from 1 species